rnacentral:rRNA from 1 species
UGGGGAAUAUUGGACAAUGGGGGAAACCCUGAUCCAGCGACGCCGCGUGAGUGAAGAAGUAUUUCGGUAUGUAAAGCUCUAUCAGCAGGGAAGAAAAUGACGGUACCUGACUAAGAAGCCCCGGCUAACUACGUGCCAGCAGCCGCGGUAAUACGUAGGGGGCAAGCGUUAUCCGGAUUUACUGGGUGUAAAGGGAGCGCAGACGGCAAUGCAAGUCUGAAGUGAAAGGCGUGGGCUCAACCCAUGAACUGCUUUGGAAACUGUAUAGCUUGAGUGUCGGAGGGGUAAGCGGAAUUCCUAGUGUAGCGGUGAAAUGCGUAGAUAUUAGGAGGAACACCGGAGGCGAAGGCGGCUUACUGGACGACAACUGACGUUGAGGCUCGAAGGCGUGGGGAGCAAACAGGAUUAGAUACCCUGGUAGUCCACGCAGUAAACGAUGAAUACUUGGUGUCGGGGAGGUAAGCUCUUCGGUGCCGCAAGCUAACGCAUUAAGUAUUCCACCUGGGGAGUACGUUCGCAAGAAUG